UACAGAGGUCUCAAGCGUUGUUCGGAUUCAUUGGGCGUAAAGGGUGCGUAGGCGGCGCGGUAAGUCGGGUGUGAAAUCUCGGGGCUUAACUCCGAAACUGCAUUCGAUACUGCCGUGCUUGAGGACUGGAGAGGAGACUGGAAUUUACGGUGUAGCGGUGAAAUGCGUAGAUAUCGUAAGGAAGACCAGUGGCGAAGGCGGGUCUCUGGACAGUUCCUGACGCUGAGGCACGAAGGUCCAGGGGAGCAAACGGG
rnacentral:rRNA from 1 species